GCUGAGCUUAGCCGGAGCGUCAACGCCGCUUCAUCAUUUGUCUGGCCAUUUCAAGAUACCGCCGGAUGAAUCUUGCUCGUGGACAGCGGGAACAGCGACGCAGUGCCUCGUUUUCGAGGACAUCAUCUGCGACGCAUCCUCAGCGCCACCUCGGGACCAAGUGACGUCAUCAUGCCUGACUAUAAAGGAACAACUACAGCUCUGCGAGUUCAGUGGGCAUGGCAGACCGAGCUUCGGCAUGAUGUCUAAGCCUUUCUUCUGUAUCGCGCAGGCUUUUCUGGUGAGCUUAGCCGGAGCGUCAACGCCGCUUCAUCAUUUGUCUGGCCACUUCAAGAUACCGCCGGAUGAAUCUUGCUCGUGGACAGCGGGAACAGCGACGCAGUGCCUCGUUUUCGAGGACAUCAUCUGCGACGCAUCCUCAGCGCCACCUCGGGACCAAGUGACGUCAUCAUGCCUGACUAUAAAGGAACAACUACAGCUCUGCGAGUUCAGUGGGCAUGGCAGACCGAGCUUCGGCAUGAUGUCUAAGCCUUUCUUCUGUAUCGCGCAGGCUUUUCUGGUGAGCUUAGCCGGAGCGUCAACGCCGCUUCAUCAUUUGUCUGGCCACUUCAAGAUACCGCCGGAUGAAUCUUGCUCGUGGACAGCGGGAACAGCGACGCAGUGCCUCGUUUUCGAGGACAUCAUCUGCGACGCAUCCUCAGCGCCACCUCGGGACCAAGUGACGUCAUCAUGCCUGACUAUAAAGGAACAACUACAGCUCUGCGAGUUCAGUGGGCAUGGCAGACCGAGCUUCGGCAUGAUGUCUAAGCCUUUCUUCUGUAUCGCGCAGCUGGUGCCGUCCAGAGGAACUUCGUAGAGGACUAAUGCUGCUUACCUGGCGCCACAACAUUGGAUGAACGCACCAAAAGCACGGAACGAGCAUUAUAUAAAGCGAAGUCCUCUGCCUCCUUGCUGCUCUCCUUGGCAAUGCCAUGGCCGUGUACAUCCCAACUUACGGCGUGCCUGCGGCUGGCUACCCCGGCGUACCUGUUGCCGGCUACCCCGGCGUGCCAGCGGUCACGAGUGUGCAUGCCGCUCCCGUUGCCGCACUCCAGACCAUCCACCAGGGCGUGCCAGUGAGUCCCACUGUCCACAACGUGGCUGCCCCAUACGGCUACCGCACAACCGGCGUUAGCUACAGCCACAGAGUCGACGCCCACCCAGUGCGCGCUCGCUACGCGUACGGCCUCACGCCUUACGGCCUCGAUUACGGAUACGGGCUUGGCACCUACGGAUACCCCACCGUGCUGAAGAUAUGAGGCAAGAUAAAGCCUUCGAAUGUGUUUCUUCUACAAAGUUAUCUGACAAACAACUGCGGCGAGACACCUUGAGAAGUACAGGAUUUUGAGAGAUAUGUCACAUGACAUUUUUCUACCCUGAAAAAGAAAUAAAGCCAAGCAACCAAUCUGGUG